rnacentral:rRNA from 1 species
CCUACGGGAGGCAGCAGUGGGGGAUAUUGCACAAUGGGGGAAACCCUGAUGCAGCGACGCCGCGUGUGGGAAGACGGUCUUCUGGAUUGUAAACCACUGUCCCCAGGGACGAAAAUGACGGUACCUGGGGAGGAAGCUCCGGCUAACUACGUGCCAGCAGCCGCGGUAAUACGUAGGGAGCAAGCGUUGUCCGGAAUUACUGGGUGUAAAGGGAGCGUAGGCGGGGAUGUAAGUUGGGGGUCAAAACUACCGGCUCAACCGAUAGUCGAACCCAAAACUGCAACUCUUGAGUGAAGUAGAGGCAGGCGGAAUUCCUAGUGUAGCGGUGAAAUGCGUAGAUAUUAGGAGGAACACCAGUGGCGAAGGCGGCCUGCUGGGCUUUUACUGACGCUGAGGCUUGAAAGUGUGGGGAGCAAACAGGAUUAGAUACCCGAGUAGUC